GGGAGACCUAAUUCAGGUAGGCGACGAAAAAAAAGUAGUCCCAACCAAGAAUCAAUCCCAAAAGGUCGGAGCGAGGCAAGAUUGGCUUUCAAACUAGGUUCUGGGUUCACACCAGACCUGAAUCAGGAACAAGGGCUAUUAGCUCAGGUGGUUAGAGCGCACCCCUGAUAAGGGUGAGGUCCCUGGUUCGAGUCCAGGAUGGCCCACCUGCACAGGUGGAAAAAAGAAAAAAAGCGAGGAAUCAGCACCUUAUCUUAUUUAUAUAAGAGAGAAUGCUGGCUCUGAGUUCAGAG
rnacentral:tRNA from 1 species